AUGACCUUACUUGAACAGGAUGUGUUCUAUAGGAUCGUACCGCUGCAUCCUUGACUAAUAUAAGGAGGCAAGCACAUCUGACCUGUGGGCCAGAGCGUGAUUAACGGCUCAGAUCAGUCUGACUGAUCCCAUGCCUGCAGAGGAUCGUUCUUGUUCAGCUCUAGGUGGCUCUCUCUCCUUUUGCC
rnacentral:snoRNA from 1 species